rnacentral:rRNA from 1 species
UUAUGGAGAGUUUGAUCCUGGCUCAGGAUGAACGCUGGCGGCGUGCCUAAUACAUGCAAGUCGAGCGAACGGACGAGAAGCUUGCUUCUCUGAUGUUAGCGGCGGACGGGUGAGUAACACGUGGAUAACCUACCUAUAAGACUGGGAUAACUUCGGGAAACCGGAGCUAAUACCGGAUAAUAUUUUGAACCGCAUGGUUCAAAAGUGAAAGACGGUCUUGCUGUCACUUAUAGAUGGAUCCGCGCUGCAUUAGCUAGUUGGUAAGGUAACGGCUUACCAAGGCAACGAUGCAUAGCCGACCUGAGAGGGUGAUCGGCCACACUGGAACUGAGACACGGUCCAGACUCCUACGGGAGGCAGCAGUAGGGAAUCUUCCGCAAUGGGCGAAAGCCUGACGGAGCAACGCCGCGUGAGUGAUGAAGGUCUUCGGAUCGUAAAACUCUGUUAUUAGGGAAGAACAUAUGUGUAAGUAACUGUGCACAUCUUGACGGUACCUAAUCAGAAAGCCACGGCUAACUACGUGCCAGCAGCCGCGGUAAUACGUAGGUGGCAAGCGUUAUCCGGAAUUAUUGGGCGUAAAGCGCGCGUAGGCGGUUUUUUAAGUCUGAUGUGAAAGCCCACGGCUCAACCGUGGAGGGUCAUUGGAAACUGGAAAACUUGAGUGCAGAAGAGGAAAGUGGAAUUCCAUGUGUAGCGGUGAAAUGCGCAGAGAUAUGGAGGAACACCAGUGGCGAAGGCGACUUUCUGGUCUGUAACUGACGCUGAUGUGCGAAAGCGUGGGGAUCAAACAGGAUUAGAUACCCUGGUAGUCCACGCCGUAAACGAUGAGUGCUAAGUGUUAGGGGGUUUCCGCCCCUUAGUGCUGCAGCUAACGCAUUAAGCACUCCGCCUGGGGAGUACGACCGCAAGGUUGAAACUCAAAGGAAUUGACGGGGACCCGCACAAGCGGUGGAGCAUGUGGUUUAAUUCGAAGCAACGCGAAGAACCUUACCAAAUCUUGACAUCCUUUGACAACUCUAGAGAUAGAGCCUUCCCCUUCGGGGGACAAAGUGACAGGUGGUGCAUGGUUGUCGUCAGCUCGUGUCGUGAGAUGUUGGGUUAAGUCCCGCAACGAGCGCAACCCUUAAGCUUAGUUGCCAUCAUUAAGUUGGGCACUCUAAGUUGACUGCCGGUGACAAACCGGAGGAAGGUGGGGAUGACGUCAAAUCAUCAUGCCCCUUAUGAUUUGGGCUACACACGUGCUACAAUGGACAAUACAAAGGGCAGCGAAACCGCGAGGUCAAGCAAAUCCCAUAAAGUUGUUCUCAGUUCGGAUUGUAGUCUGCAACUCGACUACAUGAAGCUGGAAUCGCUAGUAAUCGUAGAUCAGCAUGCUACGGUGAAUACGUUCCCGGGUCUUGUACACACCGCCCGUCACACCACGAGAGUUUGUAACACCCGAAGCCGGUGGAGUAACCUUUUAGGAGCUAGCCGUCGAAGGUGGGACAAAUGAUUGGGGUGAAGUCGUAACAAGGUAGCCGUAUCGGAAGGUGCGGCUGGAUCACCUCCUUUCU